rnacentral:ncRNA from 1 species
AUAUUGGCGUUGACCAGGACGAGUAGUGGAUUAUUCCCCUGCCAGAGAAUGGGAAUCACCGGCUGAAAUUUCCCAUCAGAUGGAUACCCACAAAAACCCCCUGCGAGCUGAUUCUGGAACAGAGCCUUCUCUCAGUAAAGAAUCCGGUAGGCCCCGUUAACCGCCUGCAGAGAUAACCUUGAGCAAGGGUUAAUCUGGGUGGAACCGCGUGAACAUCUCUCGCCCCAGUA